rnacentral:rRNA from 1 species
GACGAACGUUGGCGGCGUGCUUAAUACAUGCAAGUCAACUGAAGCAGUGGUAGCAAUCUCGCUGUGGAGGUGGCGCACGGGUGAGUAACACGUAGGUAAUCUGCCUUCAGGUCUGGCAUAACUCCGGGAAACCGGGGCUAAUAGCAGAUGAUGCAGCGGCUCGACAUCGAGACAGUUGUUAAAGCUAUGGCGCCUGAAGAUGAGCCUGCGUCUGAUUAGCUAGUUGGCGGGGUAACGGCCCACCAAGGCAACGAUCAGUAGCUGGUCUGAGAGGAUGAUCAGCCACACUGGAACGGAGACACGGUCCAGACUCCUACGGGAGGCAGCAGUAAGGAAUAUUGCUCAAUGGGAGAAAUCCUGAAGCAGCAACGCCGCGUGAGGGACGAAGGGCUUUUGCUUGUAAACCUCUGUAGUGAGAGAAAAAAAUCCCAAUCUUUGGGACAUGAUGGUAUCUCAAAAGUAAGCCCCGGCUAACUACGUG